UGGGGGGAGUAUUGCACAAUGGGGGGAAACCCGUGAUGCAGCGACGCCGCGUGGAGGAAGAAGGUUUUCGGAUUGUAAACUCCUGUCGUUAGGGACGAUAAUGACGGUACCUAACAAGAAAGCACCGGCUAACUACGUGCCAGCAGCCGCGGUAAAACGUAGGGUGCAAGCGUUGUCCGGAAUUACUGGGUGUAAAGGGAGCGUAGGCGGUUUGGCAAGUCAGAAGUGAAAGCCCAAGGCUUAACCAUGGGACUGCUUUUGAAACUGUCAGACUGGAUUGCAGGAGAGGUAAGUGGAAUUCCUGGUGUAGCGGUGAAAUGCGUAGAUAUCAGGAGGAACACCGGUGGCGAAGGCGGCUUACUGGACUGUAAAUGACGCUGAGGCUCGAAAGCGUGGGGAGCAAACAGGAUUAGAUACCCUGGUAGU
rnacentral:rRNA from 1 species